rfam:Ailuropoda melanoleuca scaffold74_78, whole genome shotgun sequence.
GCCUGGGUGGCUGAGUCGGUUAAGCGUCUGCCUUCGGCUCAGGGCAUGAUCCCGGGGUUGCGGGUUCGAGCCCCACAUCAGGCU